CAAGAGUCUUCGUCCGUACAGUUUUGAUGGCGACGGAAUAUUUCGAAUCAGGCGAUUUCCGGAGAGAUUAUGAUCUGGAAAUCGACGUUUUUCUCCACCUCUUGGAUUAUGUUUCAUCAGACUCAAUCUGUUCUUGCCUACACUCUUGGCUACAGAAUGCCAUGUCCCCUCUGCAUAUAUUGGAGCAAGAUAUCGAUAAGAAAAUAAAUAUCUAAAGCUUUAUUCGAAGAAAAAAAAGUUGUACCCAAUGUUGUUUGGAUCGCAAGCAACGAAGAAGUACCUGUACCUGUACGUAAAACCAAGGCCCAAUUCUCCAAUUCAGUUGUCCCUUAAGGGCCCAUAACAGCUACCUUCGCUUCCCCGAUCGCACAAUCAAACUAUGCGUGUGGCACAAGCACGACCGGUUAUAUUCCCUCGUGCGCCAGCUAAGGUCAUAGACUAUGAUACGUGGCAGCCUUGCAGCAACGGAAAGCCGCCAGAGUCGAGACUCGCGUCUUGCAUGCAAUUAAAUUUUUUGACAGAAGAGUAAAGCCUGUUUUUUCUAAUACAUAUUUAUAUUUCAUUAUGUUGGCGGCCCAAAUAGAGAUGGGCGUCAGUCUUCAGCCCAUUUAAGACAUAAAGUACAAAUUCAGAAUUUGCAAUUUUGCAAAACCUUGGAAUUUGACAAGGCACCUUGACG